CCAACGGCCCUCUUUAGGGCCACAAAUUUCCCAAUAAUCCGAAACU
rnacentral:ncRNA from 13 species